rnacentral:lncRNA from 1 species
UUUUUUUUUUUUUGGUCGUAAGUUAAUGCAAAACUUGAUCUCUUCCUCUAAAGAUUACCCCGCUAAGUCAUCCAAAAACAUAUAUACUCCUUCCGUUUUUAAAAAAUGAAUAUUUUACUAUUUCGGGAGUCAAACAAGAUUAUUUUUAUCACAUUUUUUGCAAGUAGUUUUUAAAUAUUUUGAAUUGUUAAUUAUUGUGAUUUAUAGUAUUUUUUAUGUAAUUUCUAAAUAUGUAAAUUUUAUUUCAAAAACUUAAAGCAUUUAUACCCAAAUUUAUACCGAAAAUUAAUCAAUGACCCUCGUGCUCCGAAAAGCUUCAAACACAUUGAAACCGAGGCAGUAGUAGAAACUAAUUCACGAUUGUAACAAUCUCUAAACUAGAUAUCUCGACUGUAGUGUCACUGACCAUAGCCAAAAUCCAUAGCAACCACUUAACGUUACCAUCAAAUUGACUCUUCCCACUAAUAGUCCAGAAAACUAAGGAAUGAUCACUCGACAAUUCUGACUCCUUGUCACGCCUCGGGCGGUGGGUUGUUGAAUAAUGGAUUUUGGUUUGUAUUGCAUAAUAAUAUCAAGUUUUUAUGUCACAUUCUUCAGAACAAACGUUGUAAAAGACAUGUCACAAGCCUUGUUUAUAAAAACAAGACAAGAAAACUGAAAAAGCUCUAAAACAGAAUUACCCAAUUCUUCGAAAACAACUGAAAACCAAUUCCAAAUUAAAACUCACGAAAAAAACAAAACAUUUUGAGUCCCACAUCGGUGGGUGUGGGAGGUCAUUUGUCUCUUUAUAUAACGCCAAUCAUCACCUCAUUAGCUAGCUUUUGAGAUUGAGUUAGAUUCAAUCUCUAUUUAUUAUGAUAUUAGAGUCAAACAUAUCCCAAUUUAUUGUUAUCGAUGUUAGACCCCAUUUAUAUUUCUCACGCUCCAAUUUGCAGGUCUAACUUUUGAGAUUUAGACACUGUAAAGAAUAAUAAUGGUUAGUUAAGUAGUGAAGCUCGAUUCAAUCCUCUCUUUGUUCUAUCUCAUUUUCUUUUCUCUUCAUCUUCAUCACCAUGCCUGUUAAUACGGAAACUGAUGUCACCCAAACUGGAUCUGCAAAUGAAGUGACCUUCGAUCCAAAUCAUCCCUACUUCCUCCAUUCUUCUAAUGCACCUGGAAUGACCCUAGUGAAUGCAAUCUUCACUGGGAGAGGUUUCCAAAGAUGAAGGAGGUCUGUGCUAAUUGCACUUUCAGCCAAGAAUAAGUUAGGCUUCAUCAAUGGAACCUUUCCUACUCCAGCUACUACUUCCAAGGAUUUUCAGCCUUGGAGUAGAUGCAAUGACAUGGUGACCUCUUGGCUUCUAAACUCACUUUCCAAAAAUAUUGGAGACAGUGUUAUCUACUCAAAGUCUGCGAAAGAUCUGUGGAAUAGCAUUGAGCAUAGGUUUGGACAAUCAAGUGGUGCCAAACUUUAUCACCUGCGCUAAGAAUUAUUAGAGUUAGUUCAAGGAACAACUAACAUAGCAUGGUACUUUACAAAGCUCAAACGAUUAUGGGACGAGCUGGAUUCUUUAAACUGUGAUGUCAAGUGUCUAUGCACUUGUGUCUGUGAUGGGAAGCAAAAGCUAGAGAAUCCUUAGAGGAUGAAAGACUCAUUUAAUUCCUCAUGGGAUUGAAUGAUUGCUAUGGGCAAGUUAGGGGAAAUAUCUUAAUGAUGAGCCCUCUACCCAACAUCAACUGUGCUUAUUCCUUGGUUCUACAAGAUGCAAAUCAGAGAGAAAUCUAUGCAAACUCUCUAAUCUCUGCAUAUUUUUCAUCCUUCAUGGUGAGAAAUCAAGGAAAUUUUGUAGUCAAAGUAACUACUCACAGAAAAAAGGAAAACAAACACAAAGGAACUUUGGACAAUUCCAUAAAAUUCUAUGCAGAAACCUGCAAAUCUAACACAGAAGAACCCAACCUUCAAAGGAAAGAAAACCAAAUUCAAUCUUAAUGCAUCUUGUACCUAUUGUAAGAAGAUAGGUCACACAGUCAAUGACUGUUAUAGAAUCAUAGUUCCCUGAAGACUUUGAGUUUACCAAUACCAAAGGAAGCCAGUUUCAAGUUAGGGGAAAUAGGGCAUUUUCAGCUAAGGCAACAGAAGAAAACAACAACAACUACAGUGAGUCUUUGACUCAACACAUCUCCAAAGAUCAAUUUUCACAGUCAGUGCAGCUGAUCAAGAAGGUUAAGGUUGGGGAUGCAGGAACUUCUAAUCCAGAGAUCAAUGCAAAUGUUGUGGCUAGUACUAUUAUCAAUUACAAUGGUUCAUGUUUUUCAGUUUUUAACUCUAGUACUUGGAUUUUUGAUUCAGGGGCUUCAAAACACAUGUGCUUUUACUCAAAUGCUUUUCUAUCUCUGACUCCUUUACCCACUCCACUGCAUAUUAAUUUUCCUAAUUCUUUCAAGCUAAUAGUCACCUAUGCAGGCAGAAUUCCUAUAUCUCCAGAAUUCAUUCUAGAAAAUAUUCUACAUGUCCCCAGUUUUAGAUAUAACCUACUAUCUGUCAAUAGGUUUUGUCUACAGUUUCAUUGCAUUUUUUCACUCACGUCUAGUCAAUGUCUAUUGUAGGCCCGUUAAUAAAGAUGCCUCAAGUUUUUGGUGAAGUAAAAGAAGGAUUAUAUAUGUUGGAGCCUAGUGGAGUUAUAUAUAGUUCACAACCUAAUGUAGUUUCCUUUUCUAAUCAGAAUGAUGUUAGUCAAGUUUCAGUUUCCUUUCUUUUUCUGCAAGUGCAGCCUCUAAUGUAAAUCUUUAGCAUAAUAGAUUGUGGCAUUUGCCUUUCCAUGCAAUGAAACAGUUUAAUUUUAUUUCUAAAAUUGUUUUCUUCUUUUUACAAUCUUACAUGUUUUCAUUUAACGGAGGCUAACUGAGCGUUCUAUCUAGGGGGUGACAAAUGGGGCAGGUCGGAUAUGGACGUAACGAAAACGGAUAAAUGAUCCGACCCGAUGCAUAUUUAAUACGAAUAAAAAGGGUUAAUCGGUGGAUAAUGUGGAUAUUCAUAUUAUCCAUGGCUUCUUGAAUAUGAUUACUUUUGGCAGAAUUCCUAGUCUCCCAAAUUUGAGGAACCCCCAAUUUGAAACUUUACAAAUGUAAAAGUUAUAGCUUUUCAACACAAGCACCGGAAAAUUUGGAGAAAUAUUUGGCCAAUAAAGUUAAAUUCCCUUCUUCUUUUUUUGUUUUCCAUUCGGUGGCUGAUACCUUAAAUUUAAUACUACUAGCAACAACUUAUUUUGAGCUGAUCUCUUGGAGAUAUCACAUUAAAAAUAGUAAUUAAAGAAAAAGAAGACAGCCUCGUACAUUAAUCUCUUUUGUGUGCGAAAUUCAGAAAAAAGGUCAGACCACAUUGAAUCUUAUGUAGGCAAUAUUAUCUUUCAUUUCUACAAAAGAUUGUUUCGCAGGUUGCAUUCAUCGGUAGAAACUUUUAUCGUUGCACUAAGACUCCUUCUAAAAAAAAAUAGCAAGAAUAGAAGAACCAAUAGUUAUGAAUAAGCUAGAGAGAUUUAUAAAAAUAUAACAAGAAUCAAAAGAGAUUAAAUUAUUAAAUCCAGCUACAAUUUGGCAAGAGUUUCUUCCAACCAAAUUCUUGAUAUGUCCAUUAAAUCAGGACUCAAACGAAACAUAANNN